rnacentral:rRNA from 1 species
ACGAACGCUGGCGGCUGCUGAACACAUGCAAGUAGAACGGAGUGGCGAACGGGUGAGUAACGCGUGAGCAACCUGCCUCUGACAGUGGGAUAGCCUCGGGAAACCGGGAUUAAUACCGCAUAGUAAUACAUGGGCUCGCGUCUGAUUCGCUAGGUGGUGAGAUAACAGCACACCAAGGCGCCGAUCAGUAGCCGGUCUGAGAGGAUGAACGGCCACAUUGGAACUGAUAGACGGUCCAAACGCCUACGGGAGGCAGCAGUGGGGAAUAUUGCACAAUGGGGGAAACCCUGAUGCAGCGACGCCGCGUGAACGAAGAAGGUAUUCGUAUCGUAAAGUUCUGUCCUAUGGGAAGCAGUACCAUAGAAGAAAGAGCCGGCUAAAUACGUGCCAGCAGCCGCGGUAAUAC